AGUGCCGUCAAUUUUUGACUUUCCGACAUAUUUGAUGCCACCAAAUAAACAGCCACGACGACAUGUUAGGAUUUUGAGUGACAACGAUGCUUCUCCAUUUGAGCGUUCUGUCCUGGAAUCCGUGCUUGAUUUGCCCUCUGCAGAAGCUACUGAUUGCGUGGAGAAUGUUGUCAAUGAGAAUUCUUCCGUGGAAAGCACGUCCCAUUUAUCCAAUGCAGAAGCUACGAAUUGUGUCGAAAUCAGUGCAGUUGGUUCUCAAGUAAUUGAUUGUGGUAUACAGUCGAAAGUAGAAAUGGAAGACAAGGCGACCGAAACUUGCAAUUUUUUCUCAGACAUUGUGCACGAAUUAAAAUGUAAACUGAAGUGUGUCC